GAUUAGAGUUUGAUCAUGGCUCAGAUUGAACGCUGGCGGCAGGCCUAACACAUGCAAGUCGAGCGGCAGCGGGAAAGUAGCUUGCUACUUUUGCCGGCGAGCGGCGGACGGGUGAGUAAUGCCUGGGGAUCUGCCCAGUCGGGGGGGAUAACAGUUGGAAACGACUGCUAAUACCGCAUACGCCCUACGGGGGAAAGGAGGGGACCUUCGGGCCUUGCGCGAUUGGAUGAACCCAGGUGGGAUUAGCUAGUUGGUGGGGUAAUGGCUCACCAAGGCGACGAUCCCUAGCUGGUCUGAGAGGAUGAUCACCCACACUGGAACUGAGACACGGUCCAGACUCCUACGGGAGGCAGCAGUGGGGAAUAUUGCACAAUGGGG
rnacentral:rRNA from 1 species